rnacentral:rRNA from 1 species
GAUGAACGCUGGCGGCGUGCCUAAUACAUGCAAGUCGAGCGAACAGACGAGGAGCUUGCUCCUCUGACGUCAGCGGCGGACGGGUGAGUCACACGUGGAUAACCUACCUCUCAGACUGGGAUAAUUUCGGGAAACCGGAGCUAAUACCGGAUAAUAUAUUGAACUGCAUGGUUCCAUAGUGAAAGUCGGUUUUGCUGUCACUUAUAGAUGGAUCCGCGCCGCAUUAGCUAGUUGGUAAGGUAACGGCUUACCAAGGCAACGAGGCGUAGCCGACCUGAGAGGGUGAUCGGCCACACUGGAACUGAGACACGGUCCAGACUCCUACGGGAGGCAGCAGUAGGGAAUCUUCCGCAAUGGGCGAAAGCCUGACGGAGCAACGCCGCGUGAGUGAUGAAGGUCUUCGGAUCGUAAAACUCUGUUAUUAGGGAAGAACAAAUGUGUAAGUAACUAUGCACGUCUUGACGGUACCUAAUCAGAAAGCCACGGCUAACUACGUG